rnacentral:rRNA from 1 species
CCUACGGGGGGCAGCAGUGGGGAAUAUUGGACAAUGGGGGCAACCCUGAUCCAGCCAUGCCGCGUGUGUGAAGAAGGCCCUCGGGUUGUAAAGCACUUUCAGUGAGGAAGAACGCCUGGUGGUUAAUACCCAUCAGGAAAGACAUCACUCACAGAAGAAGCACCGGCUAACUCCGUGCCAGCAGCCGCGGUAAUACGGAGGGUGCGAGCGUUAAUCGGAAUUACUGGGCGUAAAGCGCGCGUAGGUGGCUUGAUAAGCCGGUUGUGAAAGCCCCGGGCUCAACCUGGGAACGGCAUCCGGAACUGUCAAGCUAGAGUGCAGGAGAGGAAGGUAGAAUUCCCGGUGUAGCGGUGAAAUGCGUAGAGAUCGGGAGGAAUACCAGUGGCGAAGGCGGCCUUCUGGACUGACACUGACACUGAGGUGCGAAAGCGUGGGUAGCAAACAGGAUUAGAUACCCCAGGAGUC